rnacentral:SRP_RNA from 1 species
GCCGGGUGUGGUGGCUCACGCCUGUAAUCCCAGCACUUUGGGAGGCCGAGGUGGGCGGAUCACCUGAGGUCAGGAGUUGGAGACCAGCCUGGCCAACAUGGUGAAACCCCGUCUCUA